UCACCGGGAUAGGAUUACUCCAGUGUUAAUCAUUCAGGAUGUUCUUACCGGGAGCCGAAUUGACCGCGGAGGUAUCCUCUUCUCCAGAACAAAUGGACCCGGUGAUUACAGUUACAGUACAUACUAACCAGAGUCAACUUGAUCAUGUGCUGCCGUGUCCGGAGGAGGAUGUGGGUGGCUGCUGCUAGACGUCAACCAACCAACGAAUCAAUCAGUGAAGAGGUGGAACGCUGUGUCCAUUUUUUCCCUCCUUGAAGAACCACAAACCAGGUCAAGACAUGUGAUGAAAGGUUUGGCACUACCUGUGACUUCCAAAAUCACUUCUUUCAAUUCUUUCAGCUAUCUUUGACCUUUCUGAAAAUCACAGGCGCCACAGAAAUGUGACUGCACACACUGGGAGCUUUUUGUUCAGAGAUUGAAUAUCGGAGGUCAGUCAGCACUUCCUGUUAGAAUUUGUUACCUUCAUCUCUUGAAAGAAGUCCUUGCUCUUUGAUUCUGACACCGAAUCUGACAUUUACUGUUUAUGUUCAAGAUACCUGAAACAUCUUAUGGGAUUCUGUAUUGUGUUGGGGCACACGCCCAUAUAUUCAGUCCAUUAUAUGUUGUAUAUUGAUGGCAGAAAGACAGGAGUCUUUGGGAAACGCUCCUGUGACUUUAGAUUUCUGUGCCAGCUCAGUAACAACUGUGAUUAACUUGGAUUCAUGGCUUUUGUUGACUUCAAAUUUGACACACAACACUGGCUUCAGUGAAUCUCACUGAUUGUGACACCAAUAUGACACCAUUAUGAGUCAGACCUUACAUGGUAAUCUAUUUAACCACUGACCCACAUUACAAACCUUCAUAAUUACAAAUGACAAAACCAAAACUGAUCAGACCGUUGACUGACUUGCUUCUGCCAAACUGGAACACAAUCCACAUUAAUCGGAGUGACGCUCCCCGGAACUAGAAUUAAAUGCCAGAUUUAUCUGUUCUUCUUUGGAUACAUUUUGUCCUAGCCUUUGUCAGCUACUAAUUCACAUCACAAAUGUUUCUUCUAUUAUGUUAGCCUUUUGGUGUCCUCUUCAUGCUGGAGAGACUUUUUGAAACUUCGCUGUUACAUGAUUUGUUAUAUGAUGUGAUGAUCAAGAUCGCAAUGGAACGAUCAUCAGAGGGAACAGCUGUCAGUUUGGUGCGAUUUAAUGAGCAACUGAAUAAAUGAAUCCUGAUAUGGAUUAUGAUAUAUUUUUCCAUUCUGUGCAUCUGUCAAGCUUGCGCAUGUCUGUAAGUCUCAGUCUGCAUGCCGUUAUCUAAAUCUUUGUGGCAAUUUGCAUCUAUGCACAUGAAUGUGCGCUGUUUGUGUGUUUCCAUAUGUGCUGGCUGUAUCAAUCAGGCUGUAGAUGCUCAUAUGCUGGCAGAGUGAAAAUCUAAGUAUUUGGAGAAUGACACUGAUUUAAUUAAUUUGCUCAAGUUAAUUUUUUUUUAAUAAGACAUAGGAUAACAGUAUAUAGCCCCAGGUCAAAUGUGCCCUUCAUUAUUAGGAAUGAAUGUAAGUUUGCAAAAUUUCACAGCAAAAAGGGCAAAAAAAACCCCAAUUUGCUACCUGUUGUCUGAGGCCUGAGGAAGUAGUUGAAAGGUUUUGUAUUCACACGUAGUCAUAGAAAAUGUCAAAUGAACAGGAUGUGACUGAUGUCUUGAAUUGUUGAAAAUUGACCACAUUUGCAUGUACAGCAUGCACACUGGAGGCGAAGCAUUAGUUAUAUAGUCUGCAGAAAAAUGUAGGUCAUAUGCUCAUCUCUGUGAUGUGCUGGAUGAUUUGGAUUGGUAGAGCUGGUUGUUGGAUAGUGUUCAACCUGGGAGAAGUGCUUGCCUGCUGAUUCAGGGCAUAAAGGUCCCUGCACACACAAUUCCCAAAAGUGAUUCUCAGACAAUGCUCACGGCAGGAGUGCAACAAAAGACUGACAAUUGAAAAGCUUUUUUGCAGUUGAACUGAAGAACUUUCUCUUCCUCCGACUGUCACUUACUGACACAUUUCACGCACAAAAGUUCACUUAUAUUUAGAAACAUGUGUACACAUUGACAGAUUCUUUUACACAUUUACAAAUCUGUGCACACAUUUACAUAUGGACAUACAACUUCACAGUUCUUGCAGCCAUUAGCAACUAGUCACUGCCAUCGUUUUCAUGUAGGACUGGACAAUAUGGCUCAAAUCGAGAUUAAUAUAACUAUUAUAUUAAAAUAAAUAUUAUAUUAAUAAAAAGAUUUUCUGAUACUGAUGUAUAUAGUAUACCACAGCAUGUAAAUCCCAUUAAACAUAAUCAAUUAGCUAUUCAAUGAAAUGGACUUUUUCCCCCAACUGUUAUGCAUUACAUCAGAUAAAACUGAUCACAUUUAAAACAAGAAUUUGAACAGAUUUUGUUCCUCUGGUUCCAGACCUCUAAAUUGCCAAUAUCUCCCAUUUGUUCAGUGAUUCAAAUAAAUAUGGUGUUUCUGAUUAUUGCUUAUUGAUGGCUGGUUUUCUGGAAAAUCAAAUGACUAAUCAUUUGCCACUAAUUAGUGGGCAGGAUUAACAAUGGGGAUCCUCCUACAUAGAUAACUAGCUACUUUAUAUAAAUGAAAAACUAGCAACAGAAAAAUGUUGACAAGCUUGGGUCAACGAAUACAUCACUCGCUACCUUAACCAGAAAUUCAACGUUCUGUUAAUUCCCACAUGGUCCCAAGAUGUUAAAAGACAAUAUCAGUGAAAUCCCCCAUUGUGGAUGUUGGUGGACCAAUGUUCAAUGUUGAUCAUCAUUAUCAUGUGAAAGUAACAAAUUAUCAUGACAUAAGUACAUGUGCUGCUGUGCAGGUAAACGGCUUUUUGUAAUUUUUGUAUGGUAAUAAAUUGUUGUCGAACUUUGUUGAGAUCAUGAAGGUUUCAACUUAA